rnacentral:rRNA from 1 species
GAUGAACGCUGGCGGCGUGCUUAACACAUGCAAGUCGAACGAUGAAGCCCAGCUUGCUGGGUGGAUUAGUGGCGAACGGGUGAGUAACACGUGAGUAACCUGCCCUUAACUCUGGGAUAAGCCUGGGAAACUGGGUCUAAUACCGGAUAGGAGCGCCUACCGCAUGGUGGGUGUUGGAAAGAUUUAUCGGUUUUGGAUGGACUCGCGGCCUAUCAGCUUGUUGGUGAGGUAAUGGCUCACCAAGGCGACGACGGGUAGCCGGCCUGAGAGGGUGACCGGCCACACUGGGACUGAGACACGGCCCAGACUCCUACGGGAGGCAGCAGUGGGGAAUAUUGCACAAUGGGCGAAAGCCUGAUGCAGCGACGCCGCGUGAGGGAUGACGGCCUUCGGGUUGUAAACCUCUUUCAGUAGGGAAGAAGCGAAAGUGAUGGUACCUGCAGAAGAAGCACCGGCUAACUACGUG